rnacentral:piRNA from 1 species
UCAUUCUCCAUAAUGAAAUUAAUGUGGC